CCUACGCGAGGCAGCAGUGAGGAAUAUUGGUCAAUGGACGAAAGUCUGAACCAGCCAAGUAGCGUGCAGGAUGACGGCCCUCCGGGUUGUAAACUGCUUUAGUUCGGGAAUAACGACGGGGACGUGUCCCCGGGAAGAAUGUACCGAAAGAAUAAGGACAGGCUAAUUCCGUGCCAGCAGCCGCGGUAAUACGGAAGGUCCGGGCGUUAUCCGGAUUUCUUGGGUUUAAAGGGAGCGUAGGCGGACUGUUAAGUCAGCGGUUAAAGAGUGUGGCUCAACCAUACGAGGCCGUUGAAACUGGUGGUCUUGAGUGCACACAGGGAUGCUGGAACUCGUGGUGUAGCGGUGAAAUGCUUAGAUAUCACGAUGAACUCCGAUCGCGAAGGCAGGUGUCCGGGGUGUAACUGACGCUGAGGCUCGAAAGUGUGGGUAUCAAACAGGAUUAGAUACCCGUGUAGUC
rnacentral:rRNA from 1 species